rnacentral:rRNA from 1 species
ACGCUGGCGGCGUCUUACACUUACAAGUCGAACGAACUUCGCGGUUAGUGGCGGACGGGUGAGUAACGCGAUCUGCCCUCAGGAGGGGGACAACAGUUGGAAACGACUGCUAAUACCCCAUAUGCCGCGAGGUGAAAUGAAUUUCGCCUGAGGAUGAGCUCGCGUCUGAUUAGCUAGUUGGUGUAGGUAAUGGCUCACCAAGGCAUCGAUCAGUAGCUGGUCUGAGAGGAUGAUCAGCCACACUGGGACUGAGACACGGUCCAGACUCCUACGGAGGCAGAGUGGGGAAUUUCCGCAAUGGGCGAAAGCCUGACGGAGACACAGCCGCCUGAAGGAUGAAAAGCUCUGGGCUGUAAAA